rnacentral:rRNA from 1 species
UACGAAGGGGGCUAGCGUUGUUCGGAAUUACUGGGCGUAAAGGGCGCGUAGGCGGCCCGAUAAGUCCGCUGUGAAAGUCAACGGCUCAACUGUUGGAUGCCGGUGGAUACUGUCGGGCUAGAGUACGGAAGAGGCAAGUGGAAUUCCUGGUGUAGCGGUGGAAUGCGCAGAUAUCAGGAGGAACACCUAUAGCGAAGGCAGCUUGCUGGGACGUUACUGACGCUAAGGCGCGAAAGCGUGGGGAGCGAACAGG